rnacentral:rRNA from 1 species
GCGUUGUCCGGAAUCACUGGGCGUAAAGGGCGCGUAGGCGGCUCGCGAAGCGUGCGGUGAAAGCCCGGGGCUCAACCCCGGGUCGGCCGUGCGAACUGGCGAGCUCGAGCACAGUAGAGGCAGGUAGAAUUCCGGGUGUAGCGGUGGAAUGCGUAGAGAUCCGGAAGAAUACCGGUGGCGAAGGCGGCCUGCUGGGCUGUGGCUGACGCUGAGGCGCGACAGCGUG